rnacentral:lncRNA from 1 species
CUUCUAUGAUGACAGCUCACUAGGCAGGCAGCGUGGAUCUAUGUUCCAGUCUCCUCUUGCAGAUCAGAUACCACCUCUGAGAUCCUUCUCUGCUCCUCACUGACCAAACUCAAGGAACAGAUCUUCCCUGCCCAGGUCUCCAGGACCCCAACCUACCCACUUCUAGGAGAGAAUUCACACAGGGUAAGUUAAGAACACUUAUAGCAAGGGAUAAAUCCUCCCUGCCCCUCGCAUGGUGUGCCUUAACAUUUAGCCCUAACCACAGGGAUACAGAAUAGCCCCUUCUGCAAAACUGAACUGGAAAAUUGGAUCCACAUAUAAAAAAGGAGGUUGUUCUGGCUAAUUGAUUAGUAAGGCCCCUGUAGCUCGUCCAGUUACAUAUAUUCAUGUCCAGCUUGUCACACUGUCUGGCUGACUAAUUUGGCCUACAGACUCCCCAAACAUGAGAUUCUAAUGACUCACCUAAAGUUUUAAUAUUCAGAAAACUGGGCCUUCUCCUUGGAAAGUUGUUCCGAUGAGCAGGAAUGUUAAUCUGUGAGUGUAAGUACUGCCUUCACCUCUGGACGUGUCUGUGUGGUAUGUGCCAAAGAGACAGAACUCAGCACAGAUGGUGACUCCUGAAUCAUUAACUUCAGGCAGCUGCGUUCCGUGGCUGUACAGCUCCGUGGCAGCACAGGCACCAGGAGCCCACAGAUUAUCACGAUAAACAGUACAAGACCUCUUGCAGGUCGUAGGCCAUGGAGCACAUGUUUAACUUCUUUGGGGAAAAAAAUAAUUCGCUGGCAAAAAAAAAAAACCCAGAAUAUUUGCCAAACACCUCAUUUCCUGCUCUAUAACCAGAUGGUUAUGAAUCAUGUGAAAUAUCCCUUCCACCUCCAUGAACAAAUAUUCGUGUUAUUUACAAACUAGUAGUACAUUUGUGACUGCACAUACAUGCUUAACAAAUUUCUAGGCCGUGGAAUGUAUUUCUCAAGUAUAUGGGAAAAUCUAUAACAUGAAAAUCUUUAUCUUCCCAGGCUUUCUGAAUAAUGUGUAUUAAACAGUUGUUGACGACCUAACAAAAGUUACUGGGUCUUGGAGUGUGAGACAGAUCACUAUUUUGGAGAAAGGAUGUUAUAUGAAGCAGGAACUACAUUUUUUCACUGUGGUUUCACCCUUUUAUUUAGAAACAACAAUAAACAUUUUUGUUACGGCUUUGAAAAGAGAAAAUAAAUCCCUUUUUGUUAUGGCUUUGAAAAGAGAAAAUACAUGCCUUUUUGGAAGAGAGAAAGAGAAAAGGCAGGAAGGAAGGGAAAGAAGGAAGGGGAGAUUGGAUGGAUUCUUUGCUAGCCAAGGUGCCUAAGAGCUAGAAACAAAAGUAGGAAAUACAAACACUGUAGCUUUCUGCACCACAGCUGCCUCCCCUCGCAACAAAGAGCAGGCCCUCGGCCUCCGAGCCUGGGAGAGGGAGCAUCACCCUUAGGCACAAUGUAGCCCAGAAGGGCCUGGCGCUGUCCUUUUUGGCCUCCUGACAAGAAUGUUCACUUACAGAUCCCAAGUUAUCCUAAGUCCAUCUGGCGUGUUCUGAGGAUCAAAAACAAAUGUGUGGAGCCUCCCCUCCCUCGCACCCGCCUGCACUCUCAGGCUCUGACCUGCUUUCAGGAGCACUCAGGGUGAAGCCCAGACUUGUCCCACAGGGGAUUCUCUGGGAGGGAGGCUGGGAGCACAUGGCAUGCAGUGCCUCUGCCUCCUCACCCACCCUAAGAGGUGGAAGGAGGCAGCCCAGCAGUGCCCCUCAGAGUCAAAGACAGCGUGGCUCGCUCUCACAAGCCCUUCAGCUUGCUGGGCAGUAGUGAGAUUUUUUGUUCCUUUCUUAUUAGAGUCACAGAGAGUCAGAAGGGAACUCAGAGAUGAUUUUACAAAGGGAAGAAUAUUAAGGCUUAGCGAGGUCAGACUACUCACACAGGUCAUGGCAAAUUAGCAGAAGAGUUGGGAUUUCAUUUUUAGUGUUUUGCCAUCCUAUGGAUGGGUUUAAAUCAGAGGUAAUAACUUUGAUCCAGCUAUUCUUCAAGAGAAAAUAAAGCCAGGGCUUUGGGAACAGUAGGAGGUGGGGAUGAGGGGAAGGGCAACAUCAGGCAGCAUUUAUGUGACCAAACAGACACGUUUUUGACACAGGUUGGACAUGUCAGAUAAAAUAAUCUGCCAUCUGCACCAACUUGCUUGACCUGAACAACAAGUUCAAAUGCCAAGGUGACUAGAGAAGAGGGAGAGUACAGGAAGCAAGGGAGGGGGAGAGGCUUCUCCUCUUUCUCAGGACAGGAGUCUGGCACCUCAUCUUUUUAUGAACAAUAGAGCCCCUGUGUAAGCCCCAUGUCCCUCAGGAAAGGAGGAUCCCAGGAGGUCCCAUCCUCUGCAGCCUGCAGUGCCUCUUCCUCAUUUCCUUAUUGACUCCUGAUUCCGGGGGUCCUAGGUGGGCAGGGCUUAGACGUCCAGUUGCAUCAACUGUCCCUGCAUCCUAUCCCUGAUUUUACUUCACUACAGGAAGUAGCCAGAGUGCAACAGCAGGCUCUCUGUGUCUGGAUUUUAUGACAAAAGAGGAUUUAUAAACAGAACUUGAGGGCCUUCCUGAGAAAGAGAAAUUGGCCUCUCUUCAGUCAGGAGCCAGGGAAUUAUUUGCACGCCAAGCAAAUAGCUCCCAAGCUAACAAUAAAUGGCUCUGGGGCUGUGUCAUUCAUUGACCCUGGGAAUUCACCCAAGGCACCUCUGAAAUUUGAAAAUAGCUGUUAAUUACAUUAAAUCGUGAGAAUUACAGAUUUUUCCAAAAGGGAUGACUAUUAGAAAUGUGAGGUGUCAACGGAGGUUUGAUGAAUAGGCACCACCAGUUUGUUUUCUUCCUAUAAUCCAAGCCUCUGAAAAUGACCUGAGAAUUCACACAUAUGAUCUGAGAGUCAGAAUUGGCCAAUAUUGUAGAAAGUAAAGGUAAAACCUGUAUUCUUCCCACCUCCCUUUAACAGAGUACGUACUACAUUAGUCUGGUGUUUGGAACACCUACUGUAGGUUAUUCCUUUGGACUUAUGCGUUUUUGUACCUAAGAAACUUCUUUCAAAAUAAAAAUACUCUUGCCAGGGGCAACAUAUCAGGCUGUUGUAGACUGAAUUGUGUCCCCCUAAAAUUCAUGGAAGUCCUAACCCCCAGUAGCUCCGAAUGUGACUGUAUCUGGAGACAGGGUCUUUAUAGAGGUAAUUAGGUUAAAAUGAGGUCACUGGGAUGGGCCCUAAUCCAAUAUGAUGGGUCUCCUUAUAAGAGGAAAUUGAGACACAGACCUGUUCACAGGGAAGACCGUGUGAAGACACUGGAAGAAGACAGCCAUCCACAAAGCAAGGACAGGAGCCUUGGAGGAGAACAAUCCUGGGGACUCCUUGAUCUUAGACUUCUAGCCUCCAGGAUUAUUAGAAAAUAAAUUUAUGUUAUUUAAGCUGCCCAGUCUGUGGUACCUUGCUAUGGCAGCCCUAGCAAAAUAAUUCACAGGCUAUUUACACUUGAACAUGAAUUAUUGAUAGUAGGGAAAAAAAAUGAGCCCUGUAACUUUCCUAGUCUUGAGGAAUAGAGACUACAAACAAAUCAAGUCUUCUGUGGGAAUGCUGGGCCAUGGGCUUUGGAAUCACCACCAGUGAUGGAACCCGAAGUAAGCUACUAAACCUCGACAGGCUCAUUCAUGAAUCACCACCAGUGAUGGAACCCCAGGUGGUCCUGAAAGGAGGAGGUGCUUUGCUUCUCUUUUUCGCAGAUGUCAAUUAUGGAUCAACUUCUGAGUCACAUAGAAGAGCACCAUCAAUUGGCCAUUUCUCACCUGAUCACUGAGGAUAUAAAGUGCUUUUCCAGACUCCAGGACUCGGUUCAUUGCUAGUAUCAGGACGCCUCUCAUGUAUGGGAAGCCAGAAACAUCCCAGGAGCCUCACUGACUGCUUGGGCACAGCCCUCUGAGCAGACCUAUGAAGAAACAGAAGGAUUUGUGCCUUUUAGGUAUCUCUGGUCAAAACAGGUAUUUGAAGUUCUGAUUCUGCUAUUAUCUGGCACCUCCACUUGGCCCAUUGCUGGAAAUAUUAGGACUAGAAAACAUCAAGAUCAGGCACCGAACAGGCAAAUCUCCACUGAGUGGUUCUGAUGUGCAAAUAGCUGAUGAAGACUGGUUAUGGUUAUAAAAUGGAACACAGUUUUCUAAUUACAUAGUGUGUGGGUCUCGUGUGUGUGUGUGUGUGCAUGCAUGUGUGUGCAUGUGUGUGUUCGUGUGUGUGUGUGUGCAUGUAUAUCUAAGGUGCUUCACAUUUAGCUCUCAGCUCUCAGAAUGAGUCCACAUUCUGAGGUAAAUCUAUGGUGUUUGAUACCAACCAAUUUGAGAGAAACAUCUGGUGUCAUUUGCUUUUCUAGAUUCAUUUUUAUAUCUCCAAGACAGAGACACAACAAAGCUUUACUUAGGGCCAACUUAUUCUAAAGUUUUAUUGGUAUCUAGAAGUAGACACCCAUGUCUCUUCCACUUCCUUAUUUGAAUAAAAUUAAGUGGGUCUAGUCCUUACCUUAAUUCUCUCUUAAAAAUGCUCAAGAAAACCAAUUUCAAUAGCUGGGCCUAAAACAAUAUUACAAAACUUGGGUGCUAGGAUUAUAACAAGGAUUUUUCCAACCAGCAAGAAACAAAGCAAGACUUUCAAACAGUUUUAUUAUUUUUUAUCUUUUUAAAAAUUGUAUUGGGGUAAAAUACACGUAGCAUAAAAUUUACCAUCUUAACCAUUUUUAGGCCUACAGUUCAGUGGUACUAAGUACAUUCCUAUUGUUAUACGGCCACUACCACUAUCCAUCUCCAGAAUCUUUUCAUCUUCCCAAACUGAAAUUCUGCCUCCAUUAAACAAUAACUCCCCAGUCCCAUCUUUCCCCAGGCCCUGGAAACCACCAUUCUAUUUUCUGUCUUUAUAAAUUUCACUACUCUAGACAUUUCAUAUAAAGAGAAUCAUAUAAUAUGUGUUCUUUUGUGGCUGGCUUAUUUCGCAGAGCAUAAUGUCUUCAAGCUUCAUCCAUGUUGUAGCAUAUGUCAGAAUUACCUUUGUUUUGAGGGUGAAUAAUAUUUCAUCAUAUGUAGAUGCCACAUAUUGUUUACUCACUCAUCCCUCAAUGGACGCUUGGGUUGCAUCCACGUUUUGGCUACUGUGAAAAAUGCUGCUAUGAAUAUGGGUGUACAAACAUCUCUUUGAGACCCUGCUUUCAACUCUUUUGGGUAUAUACCCAAAAGGUUAAUUGGUGGAUCAUACAGUAUUUCUACCUUUAAUUUUUUGAGGACUCACCAUAGUGUUUUCCAUAGCAGUUACAUCAUUUUACAAUCCUACCAAUAAACGGUACACAAGGGUUCCAAUUUUUUCACAUCCUUGCCAACACUUGUUAUUUUAUGUUUUUAGGCUAGCCAUCCUAAUGGGCAUGAGGCCUUCCAAACAGUUUUAUGAUCGACUAAGUUAACCAAGUAAACCAGAUCAAUGACGGGCCAUAACAUCAAUGACCAAAAGAAAGGGGGAUGGAAGACACUCAGAAAGUUCCACCCCAGCCCUUACAACAUUGUUUGAAUGGAGAGUAGAAGGGGACAAGCUCCCAUUUCACAAGGUAAAGUUUAUAGAUUACCUAGAUG